rnacentral:lncRNA from 1 species
GCGUGCCACCACACCUGGCUAAUUUUUUGUAUUUUUAGUAGAGAUGGGGUUUCGUUAUGUUAGCUAGGAUGGUCUCGAAAUCCUGACCUCGUAAUUCGCCCGCCUAGGCCUCCCAAAGUGCUGGGAUUAUAGGCGUGAGCUAUGGCGCCCGGCCAAAGCGUCCUUUUUAUAUAGCCUGGCAGAUACAAUCCAUUGCAUACACGCUCUCAAGAUAAAUAGUAACUCAUCCUCAUGCAAAAGGACUUGCUAUGCAGUUUUUUUUGUUUUGUUUUUUUUGAGACAGGGUCUCAUUCUGUCAUCCAGGCUGGAGUGUAGUGGUGUGAUCUUCUUGGCUCACUGUAACCUCCACCUCCUGGGUUCAAGUGAUUCUCGUGCCUAAGCCUCCCAAGUAGCUGGAAUUACAGACGUGCCAUCAUGCCCAGCUAAUAUUUGUAUUUUAGUAGAGACAGAGUUUCGCCAUACUGGCCAGGCUGGACUCAAACUUCUUCUUUCGAUUUCUGUGUGGCUUCAAGUGAUCCGCCUGUCUCUGCCUCCCCCAGAGUGCUGGGAUUACAGGUGUGAGCCACCAGGCCUGGCCUGCUAUGCAUUCUUAAACACUCAUCCUAAAUUCACCUGGAAAUCAACGUGGCCAUCCAUGCUAGUUAAUUACCUGUAUCCAAUGAAAAAAUAAAACUUCUCACAUCUCCUUGACAAGCAGGUAGUAACAGCUCAAGGUGCCUAGGCUAAAUUCCCUAGGCAACAGGAAGAUAGGGACACUAUUUUCCUCCAGGUUUAGCAUGAGCCACUGAGCCCAGCCGGGAACCCACAGGUUUUUUGGAUGGUCUCUGAAUGUCAUGUAACUCUUUCAUUUUUUAUCAAAAAAAU